rnacentral:rRNA from 1 species
CCGGGUUCCCCUACCCCGAACCGUACCGGGUACGGGUACGGUAGGGGAACGGUCCCGGGUUUCCGGGGUUUGGUUACGGAAACCCUUUCCGUUUCCCGACCGUACGGUAGGAACGACGGACGGUCCGUACGCCCGUUUACCGGUUUAGGGUUCGGGGGUUGGGGUUACGGGUAACGGGGUACGUCCGGUAGGUAAGUAAAGGAACGGACCGGCCCGGUACCUAACCGUUACGGUCCGACCGACGACGACGGCCCGGUACGGUUAAACGUUAACGGGUACGGGCCGGACGGACGGUCGGUUUCGGGUAACCGGUAAAUUUUAGGUUCGGGUAACGGGUUAACGGGCCGGCCGGUACGGUACGGGUCCGGGUCCUUAACGUUUAACGUUCGUAGUAGUGGUAAGAAACCCGGACCCCGGCUACCGGAACGGGGUACGGAUAGUAACGUAAGUAGGACGUACGUGAGUACGAGAGAGAGAGUAGUACUCAGUGUAGCGGUGAAAUGCGCAGAGAUAUGGAGGAACACCAGUGGCGAAGGCGGCUCUCUGGUCUGUAACUGACGCUGAGGUGCGAAAGCGUGGGGAUCAAACAGGAUUAGAUACCCUGGUAGUCCACGCCGUAAACGAUGAGUGCUAAGUGUUGGGGGGUUUCCGCCCCUCAGUGCUGCAGCUAACGCAUUAAGCACUCCGCCUGGGGAGUACGGUCGCAAGACUGAAACUCAAAGGAAUUGACGGGGACCCGCACAAGCG